GACGAACGCUGGCGGCGUGCUUAACACAUGCAAGUCGAACGGAAAGGCCCUGCUUGCAGGGUGCUCGAGUGGCGAACGGGUGAGUAACACGUGGGUGAUCUGCCCCUUACUUUGGGAUAAGCUUGGGAAACUGGGUCUAAUACUGGAUAGGACCAUGCUGUAGGUGGUGUGGUGGAAAGAUUAGUUUCGGUAAGGGAUGAGCUCGCGGCCUAUCAGCUUGUUGGUGGGGUAAUGGCCUACCAAGGCGUCGACGGGUAGCCGGCCUGAGAGGGUGGACGGCCACAUUGGGACUGAGAUACGGCCCAGACUCCUACGGGAGGCAGCAGUGGGGAAUAUUGCACAAUGGGCGCAAGCCUGAUGCAGCGACGCCGCGUGGGGGAUGACGGCCUUCGGGUUGUAAACUCCUUUCAGCCACGACGAAGCCCUUGUGGUGACGGUAGUGGUAGAAGAAGCACCGGCUAACUACGUGCCAGCAGCCGCGGUAAUACGUAGGGUGCGAGCGUUGUCCGGAAUUACUGGGCGUAAAGAGCUCGUAGGUGGUCUGUCGCGUCAUUUGUGAAAGCCCGGGGCUUAACUCCGGGUUGGCAGGUGAUACGGGCAUGACUGGAGUACUGUAGGGGAGACUGGAAUUCCUGGUGUAGCGGUGAAAUGCGCAGAUAUCAGGAGGAACACCGGUGGCGAAGGCGGGUCUCUGGGCAGUAACUGACGCUGAGGAGCGAAAGCAUGGGUAGCGAACAGGAUUAGAUACCCUGGUAGUCCAUGCCGUAAACGGUGGGCGCUAGGUGUGGGUUUCCUUCCACGGGAUCCGUGCCGUAGCUAACGCAUUAAGCGCCCCGCCUGGGGAGUACGGCCGCAAGGCUAAAACUCAAAGGAAUUGACGGGGGCCCGCACAAGCGGCGGAGCAUGUGGAUUAAUUCGAUGCAACGCGAAGAACCUUACCUGGGCUUGACAUGCACUGGAUGCGGCCAGAGAUGGUUGUUCCCUUUGUGGCUGGUGUGCAGGUGGUGCAUGGUUGUCGUCAGCUCGUGUCGUGAGAUGUUGGGUUAAGUCCCGCAACGAGCGCAACCCUUGUCUCGUGUUGCCAGCAUUUGGUUGGGGACUCGCGGGAGACUGCCGGGGUUAACUCGGAGGAAGGUGGGGAUGACGUCAAAUCAUCAUGCCCCUUAUGUCCAGGGCUUCACACAUGCUACAAUGGCUGGUACAGAGAGUUGCGAUACCGUGAGGUGGGGCUAAUCUCGUAAAGCCAGUCUCAGUUCGGAUUGGAGUCUGCAACUCGACUCCAUGAAGUCGGAGUCGCUAGUAAUCGCAGAUCAGCAAUGCUGCGGUGAAUACGUUCCCGGGCCU
rnacentral:rRNA from 1 species